rnacentral:tRNA from 2 species
GGACGCUUAACUCAGUUGGUAGAGUACCUCGCUUACACCGAGGUUGUCACAGGUUCGAGUCCUGUAGCGUCCA